rnacentral:rRNA from 1 species
GGUCAAGCUACAAAGGGCGCAUGGUGAAUGCCUUGGCACUAGGAGCCGAAGAAGGACGCGAUAAGCUGCGAUAAGCCUUGGGUAGUCGCAAAUAGGCUGAGAUCCAGGGAUUUCCGAAUGAGGAAACUCACAUGGGUAACCCCAUGUAUCAUGCACUGAAUACAUAGGUGUAUGAGGGUAAACCCGGGGAACUGAAACAUCUAAGUACCCGGAGGAAGAGAAAGAAAAAUCGAUUUCCUAAGUAGCGGCGAGCGAAUGGGAAAGAGCCCAAACCAGAAACUUGUUUCUGGGGUUGUGGAUAGAUCAUAAAAGAAGAGGUAUCUUAAUCGAAGAGGGCUGGAACGCCCUACCAUAGAAGGUAAUAGUCCUGUAGGUAAAAAGAGAAAACUUCGAGAUCUAAUCCAGAGUACCACGAGACACGUGAAACCUUGUGGGAAGCAGGGAGGACCACCUCCCAAGGCUAAAUACUACCUAGUGACCGAUAGUGAAGCAGUA